UACGAAGGGUGCAAGCGUUGUUCGGAUUUAUUGGGCGUAAAGCGCGCGCAGGCGGAUUUAUAAGUCAGGUGUGAAAUCUCGAGGCUUAACCUCGAAAGUGCGCCUGAAACUGCAAAUCUAGAAUAUCGGAGAGGGAAGGGGAAUUUCUCAUGUAGGGGUAAAAUCCGUAGAGAUGAGAAGGAACACCAGAGGCGAAGGCGCCUUCCUAGACGAUGAUUGACGCUGAGGCGCGAAAGCGUGGGGAGCAAACAGG
rnacentral:rRNA from 1 species